GAAAAACCCGUGGCCUCCUCGCCUCUCCUCCCCUCCUCUGUGUAUGGAGCGGCGCCCAGCGACUGGAUUCCGCGCCGGGAGACUCACCCUGAACGCGUAUGUCGGUCUGGCUCGGUACGUACCCCUUCCUGUCGGGCACCUUCUCACUUUUACCUUUUUCCAGGCAGUUUCACGCACGGAAAAUGAAUUAGACGCUGGAGGAAAAACAAGCGCGUCCGAUCGCUUUCACUCUUCACUUUGUGAUGUGUGUGUGUGUGUGUGUGUGUGGGGUAAUCAAAAAUCCACUCCCCUGUAAACCGCACUACUGGGGAGCCAGGAAAAGCCAGCUAUGUAAGUUGCUGCCACAAAUUGCUGCACUCUGCCAGACGAUGACUAGAUGAUGAUGAUAAUGAUGAUGAUGAGAACCCUGCCAAAGGUGUUGCUUUUGUUAGAAAAUUUCAUUAUUUUGGCUUAAGCUGCAAACACACACGUGCCCUGCACCCUCCUGGUUCUUGUCGGCAUAUUUAUGUGCCAGGUACUCGUAUGUAUGCACACACAUGCCAUUUAUAGCCAGGGAUUAAAAGUCAAAUCCUUUUGUUUAAGUGCCAAAAUUAAUUUUCAUUUGACAUGCAAUGGGCCACAAGCUAAAAACAUGUUUUCAUGCUCUUGCCACACAGAUACUCAGACAACGACGAGGCCAAAAUGUCUGGGAUGGGCACCGAUGACCGAUGCCCCCCCCAACUGCUGCCUGCCAUCUUGGGUGGAGUUUCAUUUUUGUAUAGUUUUCUUUGGGCUUUAAAAUAUUUACCGCAGCUGAAUGCAAAAAUCUCACUAAUCCAUUGAUUGGGAACUUAAUUGAGUCUGGCCAUAAACGACGCGGCGACGGGUCUACAGCGUUCCGCUCGUCCAAAUAUAAUCAAAUACCAAUUUAAAUUAACUCAACAGCAAUUUAAGCCAACAAAAAAAGCGUAUUACCAACUAGACAGCCCCGCCACAGAGCCUGAUACACACACAGGAAAAAAAGAAAGAUUAAAUUAGUGCAAAAAUGUAAACAUGUUGUAUGAGCGAGAGGGAGAGAAAGACAGACAGAGAGAGGACAUGGACAUGUAAAUGACGCCCGGCACCAGCCUCAAACAUGUUAACCGCAUGUAAAGUGGUCCGCUGCGAUCCAAUCCACUGUCCAGUGCUGAUGCUGGUGGUGGGGGGUUUGAGAUUGAGGGG
rnacentral:lncRNA from 1 species